GGCUGACGAGUGGCGAACGGGUGAGUAAUACAUCGGAACGUGCCCGAUCGUGGGGGAUAACGGAGCGAAAGCUUUGCUAAUACCGCAUACGAUCUACGGAUGAAAGCAGGGGACCCUCGGGCCUUGCGCGAACGGAGCGGCCGAUGGCAGAUUAGGUAGUUGGUGGGAUAAAAGCUUACCAAGCCGACGAUCUGUAGCUGGUCUGAGAGGACGACCAGCCACACUGGGACUGAGACACGGCCCAGACUCCUACGGGAGGCAGCAGUGGGGAAAUUUGGACAAUGGGCGAAAGCCUGAUCCAGCAAUGCCGCGUGCAGGAUGAAGGCCUUCGGGUUGUAAACUGCUUUUGUACGGAACGAAAAGUCUCGGGAUAAUACCCUGGGACCAUGACGGUACCGUAAGAAUAAGCACCGGCUAACUACGUGCCAGCAGCCGCGGUAAUACGUAGGGUGCAAGCGUUAAUCGGAAUUACUGGGCGUAAAGCGUGCGCAGGCGGUUAUAUAAGACAGAUGUGAAAUCCCCGGGCUCAACCUGGGA
rnacentral:rRNA from 1 species